rnacentral:rRNA from 1 species
CAUGCAGUCGAGCGAUGAGCCCUUCGGGGUGGAUUAGCGGCGGACGGGUGAGUAACACGUGGGUAACCUGCCUUAUAGAGGGGGAUAGCCUUCCGAAAGGAAGAUUAAUACCGCAUGAAAUGUUUUUAUCGCAUGGUAGAAACAUCAAAGGAGUAAUCCGCUAUAAGAUGGACCCGCGGCGCAUUAGCUAGUUGGUGAGGUAACGGCCCACCAAGGCGACGAUGCGUAGCCGACCUGAGAGGGUGAUCGGCCACAUUGGAACUGAGACACGGUCCAGACUCCUACGGGAGGCAGCAGUGGGGAAUAUUGCGCAAUGGGGGAAACCCUGACGCAGCAACGCCGCGUGAAUGAAGAAGGCCUUAGGGUUGUAAAGUUCUGUUUUCUGGGACGAUAAUGACGGUACCAGAGGAGGAAGCCACGGCUAACUACGUGCCAGCAGCCGCGGUAAUACGUAGGUGGCAAGCGUUGUCCGGAUUUACUGGGCGUAAAGGAUGCGUAAGGCGGAUGUUUAAGUGAGAUGUGAAAUACCCGAGCUCAACCUUGGGUGCUGCAUUUCAAACUGGAUAUCUAGAGUUGCAGGAAGAGGAAAGCCGGAAUUCCUAGUGUUAGCGGUGAAAUGCCGUAGAGAUUAGGAAGAACCACCAGUGGGCGAAGGCGGGCUUUCCUGGACUGUAAU